UUUGUGCUCCGCAUCCAAUUCACCAGCACUUCCUGUUUGCUAAUUUCCUAGUUAUGUCUUCACCUGCUAUCACACCUACCUGGACUUCCCACCUAGUUUACGAUGUACGGACUGUGUGAGCUUGGCAGGUCACUUUACUUUGAUCCUGGGCUUUUUCAGCCACCCCACAGAAGGCGAGAACAUCCCUCAUGGGUGUGGAGAGGACCCGGGAGUCAUGCGCACUGUGCUGGGCAGAGUGUACUCAGGAAUUGGACCCCACAGCUUUGUCAGGGCACCCUCACGUCUCCCCUGCAUUGUCCUCCAGCCAGCAGACUGUCUCCUGUUCUUUCCCUCCAGGACAGCUGGAGAGCUCCUUCUGCCAGGAAAGGCAGGGCCCCAGCCACUCCAGCCUGGGGAUGAAGCCUGGCUCCCUGGGGUUGUAGAAGGCUGUGUUUGUCCUGUGGACCCUGUGGCCUCCCCUUCCAAGAUACUUCCAGAGUCUCCCAGUGCUUUGCUGACGGGGUGACACUAACAGCAGAGCUGGAGAAACAUUUUCCCAAGACACCAGAUGCAUCCUCGCCCUCCAUGAAUAUCCCUUGGACCUCUGCUGAGGACACAAUGGACACUAAAGCAUCUGUCUAUGCCUGAGAUCCUCUCUCAACAGCUACCACAGAGAAUACCCAGGAGAGACACAAAUACAACGGAGCAAAGGACCAGGUCUUUUACCAUCUUCUUGCAUGGGAGAGCCAUCUUCUUCCUCUAUGAUGUCAUUCCCCUGGGACAGAAGGAAGGGCUUAUGAGUCUAACAAAGCUGUCAGAAGAGGAGCUAUCCCCAAGAGCUAAAACCUCUUGUCUCAGGCACAGUACUGGGCCUGCGAGAAGUAAGCCUCCUCCAGCUGGCCCAGGUUAGUCCCCAGCUGAGGCACUGGCACGUGCAGCUGCUCCCUGCUCCCUCAUACCUUCCGGGGAGGAAAUGGUGGAUGACAGCGGGGUCCCUGUGCAGGAAGACUGAUCAACAGCCCCCGAUGAGGACAGGGUGAGAUUCUCACUUUCUGGAGUUACGCCACAUUCCUGGGGGUGAGGGACACAAUGGGACAUGGAGGAGGGUCAAAUCAAGGGUCUUGGAGGAACAGGGUAAGAACAGGGGGCUGGGUGGGGACCAGGAGGAAAGGAGACACCGGAAGGGACAAGGUCCCUUAUUGUGGAGGACUGGAGUGACAUGAGAGCCAGUGCUGGCUUCUCUCCUGUCAACACCCCUCUUCAGUGUGGGUCUGGAGCGACUGGCUCCCAGGGGAGGUGCAAACUUCAGUCAGCACCUCCUGCCUUCGGCCCAGCAUCUGCUGAAGCCAUACAAAGACUGCAGCUCCAGUGACACUGGCCACCCAGCAGCUGUGACAUGGGGACACCCCCGGCUUCCCCAGGAUUAAGAACAGCUUUCCUCCCAAAGCAAAGGCACAUAAAACCAGCAGGGGCUCACUGCCUGCAGGACAUUUCUACAUGGAUGUCGGCUGAGUGGAAUUUACCCAAUCCAUCUCAAAAAACACCCUGGCCCCACCCCCCACCUGCCAGUCACUCAGGCCCAGGGCCUAGCCACCCCAGGCAGAAGCGAAGUCCUCCUACCCACUCUCUACAAUCCAUUCCUUCUCCAGGCAGGCCUCCUUCACUUGGGGCACUGGCCGCUUCCUGGCUUCGUCUGUUCCUAACCCAGUCUGCAUGUAUCUGUGAGGCGGGGCUCUGUGAGGCAGAGCUCUUGCUGCAACCCUGCCUGCUCCAAGCCUCCACCUGGAUGGUUUUUUUCCCUUUCCUCUCAGGUCCAGAACAUCCCAAGAUUCAGCUCAAACGCUUCCUCUCACAUAUUUUCUGAUUUCCUCCACUCAACGAAAUCUCGUAC